GGUAUUUUAUAUUUAAUUUUUCAUAAUGGCAUUGGUGGGUGAUUUUUAAUUAGGCACAGGGGUAUUUUAGUCUAAUUUUUAUCAUAAUGGUAGUGGUGGGUAAUUUUUAUUUUUCUAUUUUUCUCUGAUUAACAUGGGAAUUCCUAGACCUUGAAAGCGAACGUGGAGGCUCCGUUUGUUGACCAAAUAAUAUGAUAAUAGAUUUAGUGUGUACUUAUCUACAUUUUUUUUUGACAGACUAGAAUCUCUGCAAUCGAACUUUCAAAAGCUACUUAUAUUUCUCUAGAUUAAAGUUAUAUGGUUAGUUUGGCGGUUCAGAUUUCAGAAUGCGCUUUCAAUAAACUGGAUUUCAGAUUUUAUGAUGUUUAACUUGAUUUUUUGAUUAUUUUCUUAGAGCACUUUAUCUGCAUAACUAAUCUAACAUCAGUACCUUUUUAUCCACAUGGGCACAAUAAGCAUUCCUUCUAUGUUAUAAUUUUACCAUACUUUCAAUGUUUUAGGAUAGCACUUGUACAAUUAUAGUAGCUCGGUCAAGUUGGUCAUCACUCAUUUAUCAUUCACAAUGGAGUUUGUUUGGUAAUGAACUAA